rnacentral:rRNA from 1 species
GAAUUCAACUCCUACGGGAGGCAGCAGUGGGGAAUAUUGCACAAUGGGGGAAACCCUGAUGCAGCGACGCAGCGUGCGGGAUGACGGCCUUCGGGUUGUAAACCGCUUUCAGCAGGGAAGAAGCGCAAGUGACGGUACCUGCAGAAGAAGUACCGGCUAACUACGUGCCAGCAGCCGCAGUAAUACGUAGGGUACGAGCGUUGUCCGGAAUUAUUGGGCGUAAAGAGCUCGUAGGUGGUUGGUCACGUCUGCUGUGGAAACGCAACGCUUAACGUUGCGCGUGCAGUGGGUACAGGCUGACUAGAGUGCAGUAGGGGAGUCUGGAAUUCCUGGUGUAGCGGUGAAAUGCGCAGAUAUCAGGAGGAACACCGGUGGCGAAGGCGGGACUCUGGGCUGUAACUGACACUGAGGAGCGAAAGCAUGGGGAGCGAACAGGAUUAGAUACCCUUGUAGUCAGGCGUU